rnacentral:rRNA from 1 species
UACGUAGGGGGCAAACGUUGCUCGGAAUUACUGGGCGUAAAGGGUGUGUAGGCGGCUGAGCAAGUCACGGAUGAAAUCCCGAGGCUCAACCUCGGAAUUGUCCUUGAAACUGCUCAGCUUGAGGAUAGUGGAGGAAAACGGAAUUCCCGGUGGAGCGGUGAAAUGCGUAGAUAUCGGGAGGAACACCAGAGGCGAAGGCGGUUUUCUAUGCUAUUCCUGACACUGAGACACGAAAGCUAGGGGAGCAAACGGGAUUAGAUACCCUUGUA